GAUGAACGCUGGCUACGUGCUUAACACAUGCAAGUCGAGGGGAAACGCCGGGGACUCGUGCUUCCCCGGGCGUCGACCGGCGCACGGGUGAGUAACGCGUAUCCAACCUGCCUCUGACUGAUGGAUAACCCGUCGAAAGUCUACCUCAUACCUCAUGGCUUCGUCUCCGGGCAUCCAACGACGAUUAAGGAUUUCAUCGGUCUGUGAUGGGGAUGCGUCUGAUUAGCUUGUUGGCGGGGUAACGGCCCACCAAGGCUACGAUCAGUAAGGGUUCUGAGAGGAAGGUCCCCCACAUUGGAACUGAGACACGGUCCAAACUCCUACGGGAGGCAGCAGUGAGGAAUAUUGGUCAAUGGGCGGGAGCCUGAACCAGCCAAGUAGCGUGCAGGAUGACGGCCCUAUGGGUUGUAAACUGCUUGUAUGCGGGGAUAAAGUGAGGGACGUGUCAUUCAUUGCAGGUACCGCAUGAAUAAGGACCGGCUAAUUACGUG
rnacentral:rRNA from 1 species